AGGAUAAACGCUGGCGGCGUGCCUAACACAUGCAAGUCGAACGUCUCUUUCUUCGGGAAGAGGAGUGGCGGACGGGUGAGGAACACGUGGGAACCUGCCCUUCAGUGAGGAAUACCGGCGAGAAAUCGCCGACAAGACCGCAUAGCCCUCUCUGGUGAGAGCCAGAGAAGGAAAGCCUCGCAAGAGGCGCUGGAGGAGGGGCCUGCGUCCGAUUAGCUAGUUGGUGGGGUAAGAGCCUACCAAGGCGUCGAUCGGUAGCUGGUCUGAGAGGACGAUCAGCCACACUGGGAUUGAGAACGGCCCAGACUCCUACGGGGGCAGCAGUGAGGAAUUUUCGGCAAUGGGGGAAACCCUGACCGAGCAACGCCGCGUGCAGGAAGACACUUUUCGGAGCGUAAACUGCUUUUCUCGGGGACGAGUAAGGACGGUACCCGAGGAAUCAGCCCCGGCUAACUACGUGCCAGCAGCCGC
rnacentral:rRNA from 1 species